AAGGCUUUAAGUUAAAUUAAACUAAUAUCCUUCAAAGCUAUAAAUAAAGAAUCAUCUUUAAGUCUUA
rnacentral:tRNA from 1 species